AACAGGAUUAGAUACCCUGGUAGUCCACGCUGUAAACGAUGUCGACUUGGAGGUUGUGCCCUUGAGGCGUGGCUUCCGGAGCUAACGCGUUAAGUCGACCGCCUGGGGAGUACGGCCGCAAGGUUAAAACUCAAAUGAAUUGACGGGGGCCCGCACAAGCGGUGGAGCAUGUGGUUUAAUUCGAUGCAACGCGAAGAACCUUACCUACUCUUGACAUCCAGAGAAUUUGCUAGAGAUAGCUUAGUGCCUUCGGGAACUCUGAGACAGGUGCUGCAUGGCUGUCGUCAGCUCGUGUUGUGAAAUGUUGGGUUAAGUCCCGUAACGAGCGCAACCCUUAUCCUUUGUUGCCAGCACGUAAUGGUGGGAACUCAAAGGAGACUGCCGGUGAUAAACCGGAGGAAGGUGGGGAUGACGUCAAGUCAUCAUGGCCCUUACGAGUAGGGCUACACACGUGCUACAAUGGCGUAUACAAAGAGAAGCGAACUCGCGAGAGCAAGCGGACCUCAUAAAGUACGUCGUAGUCCGGAUUGGAGUCUGCAACUCGACUCCAUGAAGUCGGAAUCGCUAGUAAUCGUAGAUCAGAAUGCUACGGUGAAUACGUUCCCGGGCCUUGUACACACCGCCCGUCACACCAUGGGAGUGGGUUGCAAAAGAAGUAGGUAGCUUAACCUUCGGGAGGGCGCUUACCACUUUGUGAUUCAUGACUGGGAUGAAGUCGUAACAAGGUAACC
rnacentral:rRNA from 1 species